UUCAGCAGCGAGGCGGCAAUGCGACCGAUGUUUUUUGAAAGGCCAGUAGUCGCGGCAAGACCGGCGAACACGAGCGAAGUCGGCGUACACGCACGUCCCAUCGGGAAGGGAAUUUCAAGCGGCACAGUUUGCGCGCCGCGAGUUUCUUCUACGUGUGUUCACCUUACGGAUAAAUCUGCGUACGAUAUUUGUCGAGGAAUACGAGUACGCUUGACUUGUGUGUCUCGUCUCCGAAUUGGUAUCGAGACUUAUAGUGGUGCCUGGUGUUGGCCGGCAACACACGUUUUCUGCUUCUGCUGGUGCUGCUACUCCCUUCGUGCAAGAUCGGGGUUCGUGACGUCAGCAAUUCCCCCUCACCUCGUAAACACCAAACAUGGCCGUCGUACGGAUAUACGCUGAUCGAGUGCGUCCGAAACUGAUGGUGAAAACUAACGUCGAUAUAGGCACUGGAAACUCGUGGAUCCGUGUACGAAGUGCAGUAGGACGUUUUAAAGCCUCGUGAACGGCGUUGAGUCUGUCUAUAUACGAAUAUGUAAAAACUGGAGCGAUCGACUCACAGCGUCUAGCACAUUCUGCGGAUCGAGGCCGACUAGAGCCGAGGUCUGCCGAACUCCCCUCGCAAGCUUAGUGGACUCGCCCGACCCGCUCGAGGUUAGGAGGGGAGGGGGUAACGGUAGAGAAAGAGUAUCAGAAGGGGAAGGGAGAAACUCUCAACGGUACGUGCGCCGCGCAUACAACGGAGAGAGAAAGAUAGAGAAAGCAAAAGAAGGAGAGUGUGAUUGAGUGACCGAGGACGAGAAGGGUGGGGAGAAGAGGGAGAGAAGAGCAAGCGCAAUGGAGGUAGAAAAGAGAGACGGCGCGACCAGGAGCGCCAGGAGCGCCGUCCUCGGAACAAGAAAGCUGCCUGCCUGCUUGCCUGCCUGCCGCCUGCCUGCUAGCCAGCCACCCCAAGUUCCCUUCUAGGCGGUGUUUUAAUGGCCGAGUGGCGCUUACCAUCGUCGGUGAUUCGUCAAGCAUGCAUUCGCCUUGUAGACACCCGGUAGACGAGCAACUACCCACGUAAGUUCGAUUAUUAAUUCAGCGGCGGGAGCGCGCGGCGCAUAGGCUUGGCGCAAUGUGUCGCUCUUUAUACGGACCGACGCAUAACGCGUUGUACUACCAGCGUGACAACGAGCUUGCGAACAUCCCUUAACACUUUCGAAGUGUUGUUGGAUUUUUCUUGCAACAAUGGUGACAAGCGUUAGACUGCGGAUGUUUAUGCAAAUUAACGGAACCUAAGCAAAGAUUUCUUUUACACGAUAAAUAUUACAAUAGGUAUAUAAUAUAUGAUAAUGAAUAUUAUAAUACCGUACUUUGGAUAUUUUAUACAUUUUUUUGUAUUAUCAGCAUUCUGCACAUUUUUUCCGCUCUAAAUUUUCUAUCAGUUUAUUUUCCUAUAAAUAAAUGCGCAGUUGAAUCAUGAUACAAUAGCAUGGUCUGUAAUAGUU